rnacentral:lncRNA from 1 species
CCCCCUUUAAAGAUUCGUCACUGGCGCAAUCGUUAGUUUCUUUGUAAUGGCCCGUAAUGUAAAGUUAUUGGUGUUUUACUGCAUGAACAUUUUAUAUUUUUAAUAGGCUUUCUCGUGUUUUAUUGGAUUUAUGGUAAUAAGUUACCAGAUUAAUUUGUAUCCUUCUUUGAUUUCACGGUUAACAAGAGACACACAGCUAAAGACCCUGUAUUGUUAUUUUUUAUCUUAUCUUUUC